GCGAAGGUAGCUCUGUGGUGGAACAACUGCGUUCCGAGUAGUGUGUCGGUGGUUCAAUCCAAUCCCUCCGCUCCA
rnacentral:tRNA from 3 species